CCCAUUUUCUCUUCUCCCCAACCGUUGAUCUUAUUCUCUCUCGCUGGAAGGGAGAACUCAUCACAGGCACAGACUAAUGUGGCCUGUCUACCACCAUGGGCAGCGCCCGGCUGGAAUCUGAGCCCGGACAUUUAGCAGCACCCUGAUCCUGCCACAGAUGCACAUUUCCUUCCCCAUUCCCCAGCAAAGGGGCCAUGGAGGAAGCAACAAGUUUCUCCAGAUAUAAUUAAAGCAAGGAUUUCGAGAUAAGGUCAUUCUGGAUUAGGAUGGGCCCUAAAUCCAAUGAUGAGUGUUCUUCUAAGAGAAAGGAGAGGGAUAUUUGGACACAGAGAGACACAGAGAAGACCAUGUGAAGACAGAGGCAGAGACUGCAGUGAGGUGGCCACAAGCCCAGGAAUGCCUGGAGCCACACAGAAGCCGGAAGCUGUGAUCACGAAAGGGCUUCCUGUAGGGCCACUGGAGGGAGCUGACAUCUUUAUUUCGGGCUUCUGGCCUGCAGAACUGUGAGAAAAUAAAUUUUUGUUUUAAG